rnacentral:rRNA from 1 species
UACGAAGGGGGCUAGCGUUGUUCGGAUUUACUGGGCGUAAAGCGCACGUAGGCGGAUUGUUAAGUGAGAGGUGAAAUCCCGGAGCUCAACUCCGGAACUGCCUUUCAUACUGGCAAUCUAGAGUCCGGAAGAGGUGAGUGGAACUCCUAGUGUAGAGGUGGAAUUCGUAGAUAUUAGGAAGAACACCAGUGGCGAAGGCGGCUCACUGGUCCGGUACUGACGCUGAGGUGCGAAAGCGUGG